GGCAUGUGACUGGCACCUGGUAGGGAGAAGCUAGGAAGGCUGCUCAAUAUCCUGCAGUGCCCAGGACGGGUCCCACUAGGAAAGGGUGUGGGGCCUCAAACAGCACUGAGGCUCAGGCUGAGAACCCCUGGGAAAACUUGAAGUGAGGUAUAACUACUAUUCACGUUUCACAUAAAGCCAGCCACAUCCAGAAAAAGGAAGUGAGACGUACCUGGUGGUUGUUGCUGGCAGCCGACGAACUGGCCCGAGCUGUGCUGGCUGAGAGAGAAUCAAGGAAGGCUUGGUCAGCCACAGAAUUCCCACAAGAAAAUUGAUCUUUUCCAUCACUGGGUAAAAUCUGAAUAGUAGAAAGAGUCACAAUUAUUUUCAUGCAUUAGGGUCACUUCAGGGAGUCUGGUGAGGGCAAGCAAGAAUUGUCAAAAACCGUUUAUAUUCUUCAAUGCUACAAAUUUCUCUCUGAGCACUGCUUUCGCUGCAUACUUGUAUUUUGAUGGGUUGUAUUUUCAUUUGCAUUUAGUUCAAACUAUUUUUUAAUUUCUCAAGAUUUCUUCUUUGAUCCAUGCAUUAUUUAGAAGUGGGUUGUUCAAUCUUUAGAGAUCUUCCAUCUAUCUUUCUGUUUUGAUUUCUAGUGUGAUUCCAUCGUCGUCUCAGGGCAGACACUGCAUGAUUUCUUUCAAACAUGUUGAGGUAUGUUUUAUGGCUCAGAAUAUGUGGUCUGUCUUGGAGAAUGUUCCAUGUAAGCUUGAGAAGAAUGUGUAUGUGGCUGUGGUCUGAUGAAGCAGUCUAUAGACAUCCACAAGUGGACAUCAGUUUAUUGAUGGUGCUGAGUUCAACCAUGUCCUUACUGAUUUUCUGCCUGCAGGAUCUAUUUCUAACAGAGGGGUUUUUAUAUUCUUAAAAGGUAAGCAAACCCAAGAAUAUCUGUAAUCACUAGUCCUUUCUAUAAGCAGAAUCCUAGAAAAUCCACUUACUGCCAGUAUCAACUUAAAUCCUCAGAUUUUUCUCAAUUUUGUCAAUUUGUAGGCUCCUGGAUGCAAAGUGCAUACAAGUAAAACAAGACUUCAACAUGAGAUCUAUGGAUCGAGGCCAGGGGUCUGUGAACAGGGGUUUGCAGUUGUAUGGAAAAGGCUGUGGUGUGUGCAUGGGCACAUGUUUCUGAGGGAAAGCCUAGAGACUGCAUCAGAUUCUCUGAGGGGUCACGACUCCCCACCCCUCACCGUCUAUCAAGAACAGAAAGAUGGCCUUCGAUAUCACUCUGCAGCCAGGUCCCAGGACAUCAGGAAACCUUCGCUUUUUUCUGUCACCCAACAUGAAAGACAAGCUUACCAAGAAGCUGCACAUGCUCAGUUUGGAGCGACCGAAAGACAACCAGCAGGGGGCGCCAGGCGGUUGGCUCAGCUGGGGGUGUCCCAGGCAGGGCCAGCCCAGGCUGCUGUGUUGCUCUCCUGGGUACCCGACCUAACAGCUCUCCCCAGGAGAUCCCCACAGCAGCUCACCCAAGAUACCCUUCUCUCUGUCCAUGGGAAUGGGAGAAGGAACUGAGAUACACACUUAAAAAAAUCUAUUUAACUGUGAAUUAAUUGUACAAUAAACAAUAUUAUAGACAGCAGCAAUAUCAGCAAAGGAAA